CCCAUUGUCCCAUUUUGUUUUUUUGUCUUUCAUAAAAAAAGUCUUUUAAAUACGUUCUUUCUUUUUUAUGUGUAAAUAAGUAGCUUUUUAUCCUUCUACACCUUAAAUAUUUUUACAUUUUCAUGCUCAUUUUCUCCUUCUAUUUUUUUCUCUCUUUUAUAUUUUUCUAUUUUUAUUUUUUUUGUUUCCAUUUAUUUUUC
rnacentral:lncRNA from 1 species